AUAUGCCUAUAUAAUGGAUUUAAUUUCCUUUUGUCACCCCCAUAUCUAGAAUUUUCUUCAUAAAUUAGUAAGUAAUCUAGGGCCAGCAUUAUGUUUGCUAGACCUGGUUUUGGCUCAGCACUUAAAGUUAAAAGUUUCUCUCUUUUUUCUUGGACUUGUAGCUGCCUAAAGCAUCAGUCUCUCUGUUAUUUUUUUCUAUUUUCUUUUUUCCCCCAUCAGUCUUUUAGCCAUUUGAAGCCAAAAUUCUUAGUUUCUGCCCUGGUUGAUAAGAGAAAAAGGGGAAGGAGGAAAAGGGCCCGGUGCCACUAAAUAGUCAACUCUCUCUGGGAAGGACCCCAUUACAAGACAAUGAGUCCCUCUCCUCUCUUUUUUUCUAUUUUCUGUAAAAUCUUUAAAAUGGCUUGCAUUUCUAGGCAUCUAAUAUUUAUACACUUUUUAUUUCCUAUCCUCACUCUCCGGAUGUUUACUGGACAAGAUCCCAGUGGUAUGGAGUAGCACUCUGCUCUUUUCACUUUACACAUUGUUAUCAAAAAAGGAAAAAAUUAAUGGUAAUGAGAGUUAGUCCAAACUGUACCACUUUGUAAGCCCGCCACCAUUUUGCAGACCUUGAUCAAAGGUCUGCAAACAUUCCACGGGAUUUCGGGCCAUGAGAAACAUCCUCCUAACCACCUGACCAUGAGGCAGAAGAACAUCCUUAUCAUACCCAGCCGGGCAAAGGCCCAAGGCAUUUCACUAUCACAUUCUGCAGGAACAAGUGCCAAACCGCCUCAUCAUGGGAACAUGUUAUCAACAUUUUCCCAGGCAACAGGCCAUGCCCCACUUCCAGACCUCCCCCACCCAGGCCUGUAAUUGCCAAAGCCUGUAAGCAGUGGUGGGCACUGGCACCGCUGCAGGUUUAUGCUAGACGUAAAUGCCUGCAUUUGCUGUUGAGAUGCUCUCUCUCUCUUCGAGUGUCUUUCUUUAACCUCACUUUCUCUUCAAAACCGAACAAUGAGUUCCGCUUGCACCGGCCUUGUAGGCAGCUGCUUCUCUUUCCAGGGUGACCCGAUCGACCUCUGAGGGGCUGGGAGAAUGAGAAGUGAUAGCACCAAGGAAUGCAGCAACCAAGGAGGCGCUGGCCUCAGCAGCACCUGUUCUCUCAAGGUGUCCUGGACACUCAGGUCAAAUAUUGUUUCAGAGAGAUCCCGCCUGACCCACUCUGCAAAGCAGAAUGCCCAGGUGCAGCCUGUCUCACCAGCACAACUCAGGUCAGACUAGGAACAGCAGGAGAUCAAUAGCCAUGUGUGAGAAGUGGAUUCUUCACUGGACUGCACUACUCCAGCGUUAGAAGGGCUCUGUCAUGUAGCAGGCAUUUCAACAAUAACUUUAAAAUUUUCAGACCCCAACUUACCACCAGCUGAGAUCCUUUUCCUGUGCCCAGUUCCUGGAUUCUUGUGGAGCAACUCAGGCUCUAAGGACUUGUCAAAAGAUGAAGUUACACGUUUGGUUUUAAGAUCUUAAUUGGCUUUGUAAUAAUAGAAUCAGACAGUCUUUCAUGCUAUAAAAUAACACGAAUAUUUUGAUGGUUAGAGCCGAGAAAGUUGGUUUUAUAGGGACAGGAGGGCUAAAGAAAGCAGAAACAAGAACAAAAAAUUGAUUCGUCAUUUGGACGUUGCAUUUUUCUGUGCGGCAGGAAUAGAGAGACAGCAAUAAGGAACAACUGAUUGAUUGAAGUCAAGUUACCACAGAUUACUUUUUUUUUGUUUGGUGAAGAUGAAAGCAGAGAGAACUUCAUUUUCAUGUCCACUGAAACUGGCCUGUUUUAGGAAUUUGUCCAUUUUCUCUCUCUCCUGAUUUCUCAAAAGUUCAGGUAAACAAAUUAGUUUUGGUUUGGUGAUGUGGAGUUUUAGUAUGACUGACUCCAUUUGGUUUGCUCUGUAGAACCUAGUGCAGUAGGUCAGUCCAAACCACUUACUUCCUGUUUUUAUAGAACAGGUUUCAGCAGAGACGUAGGUUGAAGGACACAGGGACAAUGGAGCUGGAAUCAACCCUGACACAAACGCGGGGUUUCUUACCCUUCCCAGAAGACACCUUGGAGAUGUUGUCAGACCAUUUCGCUUAGAAACUUAUGUGUCUGAAUGUUCCUUCACCUCCAGCCCUCUGUGGGAGACCAGAGUCCAUCCUUCCAAAUAUGAAAGGCCAAGGAAUCUGAGAGUCCAGGCCCUUUCUUUUCAGAGAUUCAGGAAAAUGAAAGAAACAAUUACCAAGGUGAGAAGAAUGAGAGGACAACAAUAAAUAUCAAAGAUGCAUGGUUAAACAAAAACUCGAUUCUCUACUUUCACAAUCCUUCUGACCAAAUGUAGUUUUUCUCCGCACCAAGAAAUUCUCCAAUUCUCUGGGGACACCAACUGGGCCACCUGCAAUUAAAAAUCCAGUUCUGAUUCUGUCUACCUGGAUUUAUCAUCAGAUCUCAAGAGUUAAAGGGCUCACUCCCACAAACUGUUCUCACAUCAGACGUCUGUUGCAAGUCCCAGGUGACCACUUGUACUUCUGCCUGACAGGCUAUAAACUGGGUGUUCCAAUGACACCAAUAAAUUGCUAGAAUGGCACAUAGAACUCAGGAAAGCACUUUGUUUAUGUUUGCUGCUUUAUAUAAAGAAUACACCUCAGGAAUAAUCCAUUGGAAAGAAGCAUAUGGCAGGGAGAUGCUCUAUGGACCACUGAUCUGAGGAGAUGGACUCUUUCUGAGUUUUUAAACACCAUCAGAAUGUUGUUCUCAAGCCCAAGGAAUAGAACCAUGAAAAACAGUAGAAAGCCACAAAACAAGAGUCAACUAUUUUCUAGUUUCUCUCUGAUUCACUGGAUGUUUUCAAUGAUAAGGGCCUUCUUGAAAGUGACCACAGAAUGGCUGCCACUGUUCUGGACAUCACAUCAACAGGCCCUCCUGAGCCAGAAGCAUGAGACAAGCAGAAAAUGUGACUCAUUCACAUGCUUCUUUCAUUUUACCACAAAGGGAAACCUAGUCCAGAGUCUCUUCAGGACCUCUUCUUGUCUUUCAUUGCCAGAGCAUGCCAUCUCUAGACCAAUCAAUGGCCAAGAAAUAACAAAAAUACCAAUACAUAAAAAUAAAGGUCAGGGACAGUGGCUCACACCUGUAGUCCCAGCAUUUU